rfam:Aminobacter sp. Root100 contig_9, whole genome shotgun sequence.
GGGCUUGUAGCUCAGUUGGUUAGAGCGCGCGCUUGAUAAGCGUGAGGUCGGAGGUUCAAGUCCUCCCAGGCCCA